rnacentral:rRNA from 1 species
AUUGAACGCUGGCGGCAGGCCUAACACAUGCAAGUCGAGGGGUAGAACACUUCGGUGUUUGAGACCGGCGCACGGGUGCGUAACGCGUAUGCAAUCUACCUUGUACAGGGGAAUAGCCCAGAGAAAUUUGGAUUAAUGCCCCAUAGUAUAUAACCUUCGCAUGUUGGUUAUAUUAGAGUUCCAACGGUACAAGAUGAGCAUGCGUCCCAUUAGUUAGUUGGUAAGGUAACGGCUUACCAAGACGAUGAUGGGUAGGGGUCCUGAGAGGGAGAUCCCCCACACUGGUACUGAGACACGGACCAGACUCCUACGGGAGGCAGCAGUGAGGAAUAUUGGUCAAUGGGCGCAAGCCUGAACCAGCCAUGCCGCGUGCAGGAAGACGGUCCUAUGGAUUGUAAACUGCUUUUAUACAGGAAGAAACCCUCCCACGUGUGGGAGAUUGACGGUACUGUAGGAAUAAGGAUCGACUAACUCCGUGCCAGCAGCCGCAGUAACAC